GGGUUGUGAGGUUAAGCGACUAAGCGUACACGGUGGAUGCCCUGGCAGUCAGAGGCGAUGAAGGACGUGCUAAUCUGCGAUAAGCGUCGGUAAGGUGAUAUGAACCGUUAUAACCGGCGAUUUCCGAAUGGGGAAACCCAGUGUGUUUCGACACACUAUCAUUAACUGAAUCCAUAGGUUAAUGAGGCGAACCGGGGGAACUGAAACAUCUAAGUACCCCGAGGAAAAGAAAUCAACCGAGAUUCCCCCAGUAGCGGCGAGCGAACGGGGAGCAGCCCAGAGCCUGAAUCAGUGUGUGUGUUAGUGGAAGCGUCUGGAAAGGCGCGCGAUACAGGGUGACAGCCCCGUACACAAAAAUGCACAUGCUGUGAGCUCGAUGAGUAGGGCGGGACACGUGGUAUCCUGUCUGAAUAUGGGGGGACCAUCCUCCAAGGCUAAAUACUCCUGACUGACCGAUAGUGAACCAGUACCGUGAGGGAAAGGCGAAAAGAACCCCGGCGAGGGGAGUGAAAAAGAACCUGAAACCGUGUACGUACAAGCAGUGGGAGCACGCUUAGGCGUGUGACUGCGUACCUUUUGUAUAAUGGGUCAGCGACUUAUAUUCUGUAGCAAGGUUAACCGAAUAGGGGAGCCGAAGGGAAACCGAGUCUUAACUGGGCGUUAAGUUGCAGGGUAUAGACCCGAAACCCGGUGAUCUAGCCAUGGGCAGGUUGAAGGUUGGGUAACACUAACUGGAGGACCGAACCGACUAAUGUUGAAAAAUUAGCGGAUGACUUGUGGCUGGGGGUGAAAGGCCAAUCAAACCGGGAGAUAGCUGGUUCUCCCCGAAAGCUAUUUAGGUAGCGCCUCGUGAAUUCAUCUCCGGGGGUAGAGCACUGUUUCGGCAAGGGGGUCAUCCCGACUUACCAACCCGAUGCAAACUGCGAAUACCGGAGAAUGUUAUCACGGGAGACACACGGCGGGUGCUAACGUCCGUCGUGAAGAGGGAAACAACCCAGACCGCCAGCUAAGGUCCCAAAGUCAUGGUUAAGUGGGAAACGAUGUGGGAAGGCCCAGACAGCCAGGAUGUUGGCUUAGAAGCAGCCAUCAUUUAAAGAAAGCGUAAUAGCUCACUGGUCGAGUCGGCCUGCGCGGAAGAUGUAACGGGGCUAAACCAUGCACCGAAGCUGCGGCAGCGACGCUUAUGCGUUGUUGGGUAGGGGAGCGUUCUGUAAGCCUGUGAAGGUGUGCUGUGAGGCAUGCUGGAGGUAUCAGAAGUGCGAAUGCUGACAUAAGUAACGAUAAAGCGGGUGAAAAGCCCGCUCGCCGGAAGACCAAGGGUUCCUGUCCAACGUUAAUCGGGGCAGGGUGAGUCGACCCCUAAGGCGAGGCCGAAAGGCGUAGUCGAUGGGAAACAGGUUAAUAUUCCUGUACUUGGUGUUACUGCGAAGGGGGGACGGAGAAGGCUAUGUUGGCCGGGCGACGGUUGUCCCGGUUUAAGCGUGUAGGCUGGUUUUCCAGGCAAAUCCGGAAAAUCAAGGCUGAGGCGUGAUGACGAGGCACUACGGUGCUGAAGCAACAAAUGCCCUGCUUCCAGGAAAAGCCUCUAAGCAUCAGGUAACAUCAAAUCGUACCCCAAACCGACACAGGUGGUCAGGUAGAGAAUACCAAGGCGCUUGAGAGAACUCGGGUGAAGGAACUAGGCAAAAUGGUGCCGUAACUUCGGGAGAAGGCACGCUGAUAUGUAGGUGAAGUCCCUCGCGGAUGGAGCUGAAAUCAGUCGAAGAUACCAGCUGGCUGCAACUGUUUAUUAAAAACACAGCACUGUGCAAACACGAAAGUGGACGUAUACGGUGUGACGCCUGCCCGGUGCCGGAAGGUUAAUUGAUGGGGUUAGCCGCAAGGCGAAGCUCUUGAUCGAAGCCCCGGUAAACGGCGGCCGUAACUAUAACGGUCCUAAGGUAGCGAAAUUCCUUGUCGGGUAAGUUCCGACCUGCACGAAUGGCGUAAUGAUGGCCAGGCUGUCUCCACCCGAGACUCAGUGAAAUUGAACUCGCUGUGAAGAUGCAGUGUACCCGCGGCAAGACGGAAAGACCCCGUGAACCUUUACUAUAGCUUGACACUGAACAUUGAGCCUUGAUGUGUAGGAUAGGUGGGAGGCUUAGAAGUGUGGACGCCAGUCUGCAUGGAGCCGACCUUGAAAUACCACCCUUUAAUGUUUGAUGUUCUAACGUUGACCCGUAAUCCGGGUUGCGGACAGUGUCUGGUGGGUAGUUUGACUGGGGCGGUCUCCUCCUAAAGAGUAACGGAGGAGCACGAAGGUUGGCUAAUCCUGGUCGGACAUCAGGAGGUUAGUGCAAUGGCAUAAGCCAGCUUGACUGCGAGCGUGACGGCGCGAGCAGGUGCGAAAGCAGGUCAUAGUGAUCCGGUGGUUCUGAAUGGAAGGGCCAUCGCUCAACGGAUAAAAGGUACUCCGGGGAUAACAGGCUGAUACCGCCCAAGAGUUCAUAUCGACGGCGGUGUUUGGCACCUCGAUGUCGGCUCAUCACAUCCUGGGGCUGAAGUAGGUCCCAAGGGUAUGGCUGUUCGCCAUUUAAAGUGGUACGCGAGCUGGGUUUAGAACGUCGUGAGACAGUUCGGUCCCUAUCUGCCGUGGGCGCUGGAGAACUGAGGGGGGCUGCUCCUAGUACGAGAGGACCGGAGUGGACGCAUCACUGGUGUUCGGGUUGUCAUGCCAAUGGCACUGCCCGGUAGCUAAAUGCGGAAGAGAUAAGUGCUGAAAGCAUCUAAGCACGAAACUUGCCCCGAGAUGAGUUCUCCCUGACUCCUU
rnacentral:rRNA from 1 species